GAUGAACGCUGGCGGCGUGCCUAAUACAUGCAAGUAGAACGCUGAAGGAGGAGCUUGCUCUUCUGGAUGAGUUGCGAACGGGUGAGUAACGCGUAGGUAACCUGCCUGGUAGCGGGGGAUAACUAUUGGAAACGAUAGCUAAUACCGCAUGACAACAGUUAUUGCAUGAUAACUGUUUAAAAGGGGCAACUGCUCCACUACCAGAUGGACCUGCGUUGUAUUAGCUAGUUGGUGAGGUAACGGCUCACCAAGGCGACGAUACAUAGCCGACCUGAGAGGGGGAUCGGCCACACUGGGACUGGGACACGGCCCAGACCCCUACGGGAGGCAGCAGUAGGGAAUCUUCGGCAAUGGACGGAAGUCUGACCGAGCAACGCCGCGUGAGUGAAGAAGGGUUUCGGAUCGUAAAGCUCUGUUGUAAGAGAAGAACGAGUGUGAGAGUGGAAAGUUCACACUGUGACGGUAUCUUACCAGAAAGGGACGGCUAACUACGUG
rnacentral:rRNA from 1 species